UGAAAAUGGACUUUUGACAAUUUCUUUUAGGAAGGAGCAAGGAAGACAAUAAGACGACAGUAAACCAAAAUCGAGACUACUGUAUGUUUAGAUAAGCACUGGAUAUUGAAGAAGAAGCAUGAUAUGGAGGACUCUGGAAUGCAUGAAACCAUCUGUACUUUCUUACGGAUUUUGCUUUCUUUUUCCUCUCAUCUGUAGUCCAGAAGGUGUGGAGAGUUGAUGGGCGUGAAUCUGAUAAUGGUUGAUCAAAAGGUAACUAUUCUUACUGUUUACUUCGAUUUAACACCUUCUGGAUUAUCCUAUUUACAUGUCCUCUUACAUGGCCGCAGUCAACAAAGCAACAUAGCUUCUGUUCAGGCUCCGAGACACUGAAACCGCCGUCAUGUAUCCUAUGGCAUUCACAACCCUUCUGUAUUCAGAUCCAUGAUCAAUUUGAUGGGGUUAGUUCUUUCUUUUCUUUUGUGUGUAUUCACAUGCCGAUACUGAAGCUGGAUUUAAAUCCCUAGAUCAGAUUUUAAUUUCUAUGUUUAACUAAGAAAGUUCUGUUUGGAAAAUUUUUUGGAUGUGUUGGUGAGCGAGAUGUGGUCUCAUAGAUAUCCUGCGAUUUUUUAAAUCUUAUGCUUUUUUAAAUUUUCUGUCGCUAUUUAUUAGCUCUUAUACCAUUACAUAAAUUGUGUGAUGAUGUGUGUACGCCCAUGUGUUCUUGGUUACGUCUUUCAAGAUUUUCAAUGAUGAUUCGUGAAGAUUACAUGUUGACUUCCAAUAUUUUUUUUUUGAAUUGGUAAUUAUUGUGAAAACCUUUGGUGGAAACAUGAAAUUAUGAACUUUGUUGUGUUCUAUUAGCUAUUUCACUCACACUUUAUACCAUCCCAUAAAUGAUGAGAUGAUGUGUGUGUGUCUGCCCCUCUGUUCAUGAAGAUAGACAGUUCUGAUGUCAUGUAUUUGUUUUUAGGAUUGGUAACAUUUAGAUUGCUCUAAUUACUAUGAAAACCACUGAUGGGAACAUGAAAGUAUAAAUUUUUGUUGUGCUCUAUUAGCUCUUUGACUGUACUUUUCAGGUGCAAUACUUUUGUGCUCUCAGUGUGGAGAAGCAGAUACUCUUAUCGCUCAAAUCUACUAAAUUUUUUUCUACUAAACGUUAAAUAGUAUUUCCAGGUGGUGGUGAUGACGGUGGCAGAGGAGGGGUUGCAGUGGUGGUGCUCAUGAAGAGCAUAUCGGGCAUGGAGAAUCAGAAGAUGGCGAGGGACCGGAGAAGAUGUGGAAUGGUUCGUCGACCAGUGACAUGGAACGGAUGGAUCUGGGACUAUUCUAAUGAUCACCACUAUUCUAUUUAACUGGGAUUGUUUUCAUACGUAAGUUGUUGUUUAUCAUAGUUUUAAGAAUAUUUGUCUGUGUUUAAGAUUUAAGAUUACACUUUUUGGUUUUAACCUUAUCACAAACUCAGUCCAAAACAUGGAGAAUUCUUUUUUACCAAAUGAUACUCUUUCUUUUUUUACAAAAAAAUAUGCUUUGUUUUCUAUAAGUGCAGUCACUACAAUUUCAUUUUUGAGGUGUUUUACCUUUGUAAUAGUUUGCUACCACUCCAUUGAUGGUAAACAUAAUGCUCCGGAACGGCUAAGUACAGUCUAUGAUAAUACCAACAUAUUUUGCGAAGUAAUAUAUUUUCGUUUACUAUGGAAUAAUAUCAUAUACAAAAAGAGAAUAAGUCAAGAGAAAAUAACAUAAAAGUAUACAUUAAACUAGGGCUUAGAAAAAUAUCAAAAUCGGAAAAUCCAACUUAAUAUCGAAGAUAUAAAAUAUAAUAUUCAAAAUAGCUAAAAUACUCAAAAAAUACUUAGAGCUGUCAAAAAUGCCUGAAAGUAUUUAAAAACUGUCAAAAGUAAAUACUUAAAAUAUUAAAAAAAAAAGAAGACUCAAAACAAUAAAUAUUUAGUGGUUUUUCCACUCUAAUAUCAAACGAACCAAAUUUCAUGAUAAUUUUAUGUAUUUAGUUAUACAUAAUUAUAACAUAUAAGAAUAUUACUUUUAUUUUGGGAUUUGAAGAUUUUAAAAUAUAUUUGAGUUUCAAUAAAAUAAAAUAAAAUAAACGGGUAGCAACCGAACCCGAACCAAAACUAAUAAAUAUCCAAAUAAAACUUAAAUCUCUAUAUCUUAAAACCCAAAAUCUGAAUAGCCAUAAAAUUAAACUCGAUCUAAUAUGAUGUCCACUCAUGCAUUAAAUUACAAUUAAAAUAAACUAGAAGUAUAACUCACAUUGCUUAUCUGCUCUUAAAAAUAAUUCUACAACAGAAUUCUUAUAGUGACGACCAUUAAGAUAUCUCUAACAACAUUAUAAUUAAAAAAAAAAGAGCUUGAUUGUAAAAAAUAUGAAAACAAAUACGAACUAUAAUUUUUAAGCAAUAUAAAAACAAUUGUAAAAAAUGUAAAAAUAAUUACAAAAAUGUAUAAAUAACUCUAAAACUACAACAUAUUUUAUAAAAAAUGCGCACACCGACCCCUACCUUAAUAUACAAUUUAGUAAACACAGAUUACAAAUAGAUAUGCAAGACUUAUUAUAAACACUACAAGUAUUGAUCAUAACUAUAUAAAUGAUCUUUUAGAAAUAUGUAAAACUAAGAUAAAAUUAUACUUGAGUUGUACACAAAUUUUUUUAUAUAAUCAGAAGAGUUAAUCUUUUAAGCUAAAGAAUUAAAAUAUUAUCUUCAUAUCAAAUUUUCAAAGAAACCGGCUAAAUUUAAUAAGAUUAUUAAAAUAUUAAAAAUAAACUAUAGAAUAAACUAACAUAUAACUUCUACACACCAACAUUCUUGAAAACCUUAAAUUUUAUAAUACAUUUCUCUUGCAAAAAACCCAUAGACCAUGUUCUAAAAUAAGAUACAAUUCUAUAGCUUCAUACAUCACAUAUAAAUCAUACCCCCGCGCGUAGCGCGGAUCGGCCCUAGUUAUAAAUAUUCGGUCCUUACUAUUCACUAUGAAAAUUUAGGUUGGAGAUUCCUUCGGAUCACUGAACUUUCAUCAUAUGCUUUCCACUUUGCACGACCCUUUUGUCGUUAUCAUGAUUUUGCUUAAUAAAUUAAUUGCAAUCCUUUUCUAUAAACAAACAAAACUUAAAAUCAAUUGAAUUUAGACAGCUGAUCAAAAACAUAUACUAUUUAACAGUAGUGAUUAUUAUACUUUUGAUUAUUAAUUUACCAUAUGUUUUAAGUGAUUUAAAAAAAAUCAAAAUA